rnacentral:rRNA from 1 species
UACAGAGGGUGCGAGCGUUAAUCGGAAUUACUGGGCGUAAAGCGCGCGUAGGCGGCUUUGCAAGUCGAUUGUGAAAUCCCCAGGCUUAACCUGGGAACUGCAUUCGAGACUGCAUAGCUAGAGUAUGGGAGAGGGAAGUGGAAUUUCAGGUGUAGCGGUGAAAUGCGUAGAUAUCUGAAGGAACAUCAGUGGCGAAAGCGACUUCCUGGACCAAUACUGACGCUCAUGUGCGAAAGCGUGGGGGAGCAAACAGGG